rnacentral:rRNA from 1 species
UACGUAGGGGGCAAGCGUUGUCCGGAUUUAUUGGGCGUAAAGAGCGUGUAGGCGGCUUGGUAGGUCUUGCGUCAAAACCUGAGGCUCAACCUCAGUUCGCGUGGGAAACCAUCUAGCUAGAGUCCGGAAGAGGAGAACGGAAUUCCCAGUGUAGCGGUGAAAUGCGCAGAUAUUGGGAAGAACACCAGUGGCGAAGGCGGUUCUCUGGGACGGUACUGACGCUGAGACGCGAAAGCUAGGGGAGCGAACGGG